rnacentral:rRNA from 1 species
AACGCUAGCUACAGGCUUAACACAUGCAAGUCGCGGGGCAGCAUGGGAGAUGCUUGCAUUUCCUGAUGGCGACCGGCGCACGGGUGAGUAACGCGUAUCCAACCUGCCUGUUACCACGGCACAGCCCGUCGAAAGGCGGAUUAAUGCCGUAUGUGGUCCUAAGCGGGCAUCUAAUUAGGACUAAAGGAUUGGCGGUAACGGAUGGGGAUGCGUCCGAUUAGCUUGACGGCGGGGUAACGGCCCACCGUGGCGACGAUCGGUAGGGGUUCUGAGAGGAAGGUCCCCCACAUUGGAACUGAGACACGGUCCAAACUCCUACGGGAGGCAGCAGUGAGGAAUAUUGGUCAAUGGGCGAGAGCCUGAACCAGCCAAGUAGCGUGAGGGAAGACUGCCCUAUGGGUUGUAAACCUCUUUUGUGCGGGGAUAAAGUGAGGGACGCGUCCCUCAUUGCAGGUACCGCACGAAUAAGGAUCGGCUAAUUCCGUGCCAGCAGCCGCGGUAAUACGGAAGGUCCGGGCGUUAUCCGGAUUUAUUGGGUUUAAAGGGAGCGCAGGCCGUCCUUUAAGCGUGCUGUGAAAUGCCGCGGCUCAACCGUGGCACUGCAGCGCGAACUGGAGGACUUGAGUACGCACGAGGUAGGCGGAAUUCGUGGUGUAGCGGUGAAAUGCUUAGAUAUCACGAAGAACUCCGAUUG